CUAGCAUCGCUAUUCAAUUCUAGCGUGUGAACCUGGUCAGGUCGUGAAAGAAGCAGCCAUAAGCAUUGUUAGGAUGUGGAUAGCGAUGCUAGAUA
rnacentral:SRP_RNA from 1 species